CAUCACGUUUAUGGGCGCGCACGCGCAUGGUACGCAUACGCGCUGAUGGUUGCACAUGAUUCGCUUAAUGCAACUCGUGGCCAGCUAUUUUAGAAGCCUUGUGGGCCUAAUCCAACUCAUUUCUGAUGCUAUUUAACCCCAGG